rnacentral:rRNA from 1 species
AGUGAACGCUGGCGGUAGGCCUAACACAUGCAAGUCGAACGGCAGCACAGUAAGAGCUUGCUCUUACGGGUGGCGAGUGGCGGACGGGUGAGGAAUACAUCGGAAUCUACUUUUUCGUGGGGGAUAACGUAGGGAAACUUACGCUAAUACCGCAUACGACCUACGGGUGAAAGCAGUGGAUCUUCGGACCUUUCGCGAUUGAAUGAGCCGAUGUCGGAUUAGCUAGUUGGCGGGGUAAAGGCCCACCAAGGCGACGAUCCGUAGCUGGUCUGAGAGGAUGAUCAGCCACACUGGAACUGGGACACGGACCAGAAUCCUACGGGAGGCAGCAGUGGGGAAUAUUGGACAAUGGGCGCAAGCCUGAUCCAGCCAUACCGCGUGGGUGAAGAAGGACUUCGGGUUGUAAAGCCCUUUUGUUGGGAAAGAAAAGCAGCAGGUUAAUACCCCGCUGUUCUGACGGUACCCAAAGAAUAAGCACCGGCUAACUUCGUG